UUAUAAAUAAAAUUAAUUAAUAAGAAAUUAAAUGGAAUCAUUAAAUUUAAAAAAUUUGGCGGUAUUUUAAAUAGUUAGAGGAACUUGUUAGUUAAAUGAUGAUCCACGAGUGGAAGGUCCUAAUAAAAUUUUAUGUAUUGUUGUAUAAAAAUUAUUUUAUGAGAAUUAUAAUUGGAAUAUUUAAUUUAAUUUGAAUUCAAAUCAAAAUGUAGAAUUAUUAGGUUUAAAUGAGUUACAGUUUAAUUUAAUAUGGUAGUUAUUUUUUUAAUGAAUUAAUGUUAUAGGAUUUAAAAGUAAAUUUAAAAAAAUUUUUAAAUUGAAAUAUUAAUUAAAAUAUG
rnacentral:rRNA from 1 species